AGCGAACGCUGGCGGCAGGCCUAACACAUGCAAGUCGAACGGAUCCUUCGGGAUUAGUGGCGGCCGGGUGAGUAACACGUGGGAACGUGCCCUUUGGUUCUGAACAACUCAGGGAAACUGUAGCUAAUACCGGAUUUGCCCUCCGGGGGAAAGGUUUAUCGCCAUUGGAGCUGCCCGCGUCUGCUUAGCUCGUUGGUGAGCGACAGGCUCAACAAGGCGACGAUCAGUAGCUGGUCUGAGAGGAUGAUCAGCCACAUUGGGACUGAGCAACGGCCCAAACUCCUACGGGAGGCAGCAGUGGGGAAUCUUGCGCAAUGGGCGAAAGCCUGACGCAGCCAUGCCGCGUGAAUGAUGCAGGUCUUAGGAUUGUAAAAUUCUUUCACCGGGGACGAUAAUGACGGUACCCGGAGAAGAAGCCCCGGCUAACUUCGUGCCAGCAGCCGCCGUAAAAC
rnacentral:rRNA from 1 species